UUAAAUAUUCAGUUUUUAGGUGCCUCUGAUUUAUCGGAGGAUAAUAGGGAACCAGGUGAAAUUCCUGGACGGUCGCGCCACUGUAUGCGGAGAGCUUCUUUUAUAACCACUGGUUUUAUCCGGGAAGGAGAAAGAAAGCAAAGACCCGCAAGUCAGGAAACCUGCCUAAUACUGGUUGUCUACG
rnacentral:ncRNA from 20 species